rnacentral:rRNA from 1 species
GACAGAGGGUGCAAACGUUGUUCGGAUUUACUGGGCGUAAAGCGCGUGUAGGCGGCCUUGCAAGUUGGAUGUGAAAGCCCACGGCUCAACCGUGGAAGCGCAUCCAAAACUGCAUCGCUCGAGUCUCGGAGAGGAAGGUGGAAUGCUUGGUGUAGAGGUGAAAUUCGUAGAUAUCAAGCAGAACACCUGCGGCGAAGGCGGCCUUCUGGACGGAUGACUGACGCUGAGACGCGAAAGCGUGGGGAGCAAACAGG